rnacentral:rRNA from 1 species
AGUCUGGUGCCAGCAGCUGCGGUAGUACCAGCUCCAAUAGCGUAUAUUAAAGUUGUUGCAGUUAAAAAGCUCGUAGUUGGACUUGUGUGCGCUGUCCGCGGGUGGCCUGCGCCCAAAAGGGCGUUUCGGUUCGGCCCCGGUGGCGCCUUGAAAUCUGCAGCUGGGGGGACGUUGGCCUUAACUGGUCGGCGACCGCACGCCGGCUGCUCGGUUACUGUGAGAAAAUUAGAGUGUUCAAGGCAGGCAUUGGGUGCAAUUGAAUACAUUAGCAUGGAAUAAUAAAAUAUGGCUCCUGCCGUAUUUUGUUGGUUUUGACUGGUGGGAGUAAUGAUUGAUAGGGACGGUUGGGGGUGCUAGUAUUGAGCGGCCAGAGGUGAAAUUCAUGGAUUCGCUCAAGACUAACUUAUGCGAAAGCAUUCACCAAGGACGUCCUCUUUAAUCAAGAACGAAAGUUGGGGGAUCGAAGACGAUCAGAUACCGUCGUAGUCUCAACCAUAAACUAUGUCGACUUGGGAUCGGCGGUAGUUUUUUCAUUAAGACACUGUCGGGACCACGGGAGAAAUCAAAGUGUCUGGACUCUGGGGGAAGUAUGGUCGCAAGGCUGAAACUUGAAGGAAUUGACGGAAGGGCACCACCAGGAGUGGAGCCUGCGGCUUAAUUUGACCCAACACGGGGAAACUUACCAGGUCCAGAGAUGUAGAGGAUUGACAGAUUGAAGCUCUUUCUUGAUCACUUCGGUGGUGGUGCAUGGCCGUUCUUAGUUGGUGGAGUGAUUUGUCUGUUAAUUCCGUUAACGGACGAGACCUCAGCCUGCUAGUGUAGUCGGCUGGAUUGCCUUUGGCGAUCCGUGAUUUCGACUUCUUAGAGGGACAAUCGACGCGCAGUCGAUGGAAGUUUGAGGCAAUAACAGGUCUGUGAUGCCCUUAGAUGUUCUGGGCCGCACGCGCGCUACACUGCUGGGCUCAGCGAGUUUUACUUGGCCGAGAGGCCCGGUUAAUCUUGUGAAAUCCCAGCGUGCUUGGGCUCGCCUCCUGCAACUGGAGGCGCCAACGAGGAAUUCCUAGUAGACGCAGGUCAUCAACCUGCAUCGAUUACGUCCCUGCCCUUUGUACACACCGCCCGUCGUUCCAUAAGAGUGAGGCAUCCGGUGAAUUCUCGGGAGAGCCUGGGCGUGGCCAGCAAUGGUCUGCUCGGGUUUGAACUUGCAUAAACUUGGUGCCUAUGAUUAGGG